AUGGAAGGAGAAGCUGUCGCCGCCGUCGUUAAAGUUUUAGUUCAAAAUCUCAUCGACCAUACCAAGAAUGAGAUCUCAUUAAUCCGAGGUCUCGACAAAGAAGCAGAAAAGCUAGCUUGGAGUUUAGAUACAAUCCAGCAAUUGUUGAAUGAUGCUCCCGGUGGGGCUAUCAAAAGCUGGCUGAGGAAGCUUGAAGAUGUAGCGUUUGAUGCUGACAACGUUUUGGAUGAACUCAAUUACCAUCUUCUCUCCAAACAAAUCAACUCUAUUAAACCCAUGAAACAAAAGGUACUCUCAUGCUUCUCACCCUUGAGUCAUAUUGUGCAUCCCAGAAGUAUAGCUCUCAAAAUCCAAGAUAUCAAUGAGAAUUUGGAGUCCAUUUACAAAGAGGGAGCCGGGCUUGUCCUCGAGAAGAGGCUUGCCAAUGAAGGGCCCAAUUUGCCUCAUGCUGCUUUUGAAACUGAUUCCUUCUCACAUGAUCCAAUUUUCAUUGGGAGAGAUGAGUUGGUGUCGGAAAUAGUUGAGGUUAUUAACACUGGUUCCGCAACUAAUGUACGUGUAGUUUCUAUCUUUGCCAUUGUGGGAAUGGGAGGAUUGCGGAAGACAACCUUGACUAGGAAUGUCUUCCACCAUCCAAAGAUAAAAACUCACUUUGGUUCACAUCUUUGGGUGCACGUUUCUCAAAUUUUUGAUCCUAUCAUUCUUUUCAAGAAAAUCCUCAUAUGCUUAACUUCUACCGAUCAAGUUAAAGUUGAGAGUAGGGAAGAUAUUAUGAAAAAGCUUCAAGAAGCUUUGAGAGACAAAACUUAUCUUCUCAUUCUUGAUGAUGUUUGGAAUCAAGAUCGUCCCAAAUGGGAUGAUUUUAUCAAUUCUUUGGUUGGCGUCACUUCUACCAAGAGGAAUGCAAUUGUUAUUACCACCAGAAAUAUGGAAGUCGCUUCAACUGUACAGUCACUUCAUACACAUGAGCGUAAAGGAUUAUCACAUGAAGAUUGUUGGUCAAUAAUCAAAGCAAAAACUUUUGAAAAAGAGGAUAUUCCAUCAAAGUUUGAGGCCAUAGGGAUGAAGAUUGCAACAAGAUGUCAAGGUUUGCCAUUAGCUGCUAAUGUAGUUGGUGGAGCACUAUGCAAUAAAUCGGAAGAAGAAUGGCUCUCGAUUGAAGAGAAAUGGCUUUCACAUGAUGAAGGGGAUCAUAUCACAAAGAUAUUGAAGUUGAGCUUUGAUAAUUUGUCUCUACCGUCACUCAAGAAGUGUUUUGUAAGUUGUUCGAUUUUUCCUAAAGGUCGUAAAAUUAAAAGUCAGGAACUAAUUGAGUACUGGAUGGCAGAAGGAUUCCUUGUAGCUAAUGGAAGCAGUGAGAUGGAGUACUUGGGCGAUAAAUUUAUGAAAGUUUUUCUACAAAACUCUCUACUACAAGUUGCAGAACGAGAUGACUAUGGAAAUGUAGAGAGUUAUGUGAUGCAUGAUCUUGUGCAUGAUCUCGCAUGUUCAAUUUCGGGUUCCUCCAAUAAUACAAAAGUUGGGAGCUGAGUGAGAUACAUGAUUCAUGAUGUAAAAAAGUCGUAUUCCAAAAGAAGUGGCAAAAUAUUUGCGUACAUCAUUGUUCGAGGGAAGCAUUUAUGGUAGCAAGUUUGCAGAUUUCGAGCAUCUACAUGUUUUAGUUCUUGAUGAUGAUGAAUGUAGAAUGUUUCCAAGUUCGAUAAGGAAGUUGAUACAUUUAAGGAAACUUGAUAUUUCGUCGACGCGUAUAAAAUAUUUGCCGAACUGGAUUGGUGAUCUCCAUCACUUGCAAACAUUAAACACAGGUACAAGAAAAUUGAAGGAACUGCCUAGUUCUCUGAAGUACUUGGUUAAUUUAAGGCAUCUGUAUAUUAAGAAGUCGUCCUUGCCAGCCGGAAUUGGGAGUUUAACUUCUCUCCGGACGCUAGAGUAUUUUAUAGUGGGUGCCAUGAAUGGAUGCAAAAUCGAAGAGCUCGGGAGUUUGAAUAGUCUCAAAGGAACACUGGAAAUUUCUAACCUUGAAAGGGUUGAAAACAAGGAAGAGGCUGAGCAAGCACGUCUAUCUAACAAGUCAAAAAUAUUUAAGUUGCGUUUGACAUGGAACAUGCAUAGAGAAGUUGAAACUACAAAUGAUGAGAAUGUGUUGGAAGGCCUCCAACCUGACUCUAAUAUGAAGAGGUUAGAGAUUGAAGGAUUCAAGGGAAAAAGAUUUCCAUCAUGGACUGGAAAUAUGGUAAUUGAAAAUGUGUCUCAAGGUUGUUGGGUACCACUUAACAAGUUGAUUGAGAUAAAACUCUCCAAUUGCUCAGAAUGUGAAGAAAUCCCAUUGUUUGGGCAGUUGCGAAAUCUCAAGUCUCUUUGGUUAGAAGGAUUGAAAAAUUUGAAGGAAAUAAAUUCUUCUUUCUAUGGAUUAGUGAAUGAGGAGACCCGUAUUAUUUUUCCAGCUCUAGAAAGGCUCGUGUUGGUUGAAAUGCCUAAGCUGACAGAGUGGGCAAAAGUAGAAUCUCCAAGCGCAAGUGAUGUCAAGGUGUUUCCUAACCUUCAACACUUGGAGAUCUCUAAGUACAAGCAAUUGAUGAGUUUUCCUAAUUAUUCGUGGUCAUGCCUCAAAAUUUAAUAAUCAAGGGGACUGGGAGCAUGCCUUUAACAUACAUAUUCAAGACAAAAUUAAAUUUGCUAACAGAGCUUUGCUUAAAAGGAAUAGAUGAUCUGGAAAAUCUUCCAAAUUAGUUAUUCUAUAACAGUCCCAAUCUCUUGGAGUUAAGUAUAAGAAGGUGUUCCAAUUUGAGAGAAUUACCAGAUGCUCUAGGCACCCUCAGUUCUUUGGAGAAUUUGAUUAUAAGAGAGUGUCCAAAUUUGGAACGAGUAGCAAUUAUUGGUGCACAAGAAUCACAAGGAAGCUUUGCAUGUCUUAAAAGGUUGGAGAUUUGUGAAUGCAAAGCUUUUGCUAUACUUUCCAUGUGAAAUGGUAGGAUCCUUGCUUGAGGAACUGAAGCUGAAGAAUUUAAGUAGCCUAAAGAGUCUACCCGGAAUAAUUGAUUGUCUGCCGAAAUGGCCUUGUCUAACACGUUUAGAAAUUAAUGGUGUUUCUCAGUUUAUGGCCAUUUAUUUUAGUUAUAAGUUAGAAUUAGAUGUUAGUAUGGAGGGAUCUAUGGAGACUGUUGAUGGCUUAUUGUAAGAGCGUCCACUAUGGCACGGACGCCCGACCGCCGCGCCGCCCCCCCUUCUCUCACAGCCGCCCCACCGCCGCGGCGCCCGCAUCCGCCCCGUUUCCACACUAUAGGGCGCCGCGGCUAUAGCCCCACUCCUUCUCUCUCUGCCACCCUCAGCCGCGUCCUCGCCCCGCACGCGGCGAUUCCGCGUCCGCCGUCCCUCCCCUCACCCGCCGCGUCCACCCCCGCGGCGGACACCCUUCCCACUAUAAGCCGCCCCGCUUCCGCCUCGCCAUCGCCCCGCUCGCGGCUAUAGCCGCGUCCACGUUAUAGUGGACGCUCAACUCCUACUCACUUAAGGUAUUAAAAUUGAAAGGGAGGGAAGGUUGGGGAAAUUUGCCAGAAUCAAUUCAACAUCUCACCUCUAUUCAUUGGUUAAAGAUAGAGAAUUAUGGAAUCGAAGAGUUGCCUGAAUGGUUGGGGAACCUCUCAUCUGUAACAUUGGUGGAUUUACACAAUUGCAAGAAGUUAAGGAGUCUACGUGCACUGCGUGGCCUCACGUUACUUCGAUACUUAGAUAUUAAAGGCUGCCCAGAAAUAAGUAUUGAACAACAAAGUGAUGCAGCUGAUUCCCAAUGGCCCAACAUUUGCAAUAUCCGCUACAUUAAGAUUAAUGGAGAAAUAAUAGGUGAAUAUGAAUACAUUUUGUUGUUUCCUUUUUAUAGAAGCAGUUGCAUGUCUAAUUGCUCACCACCACAUUAUAUUGACUUUCAGUGACUUGUUGAUUUAACCUUUUCUCCGUUAAUCCUUUUUGUGUUUGAUAGUUGAAGCGGGAAGGAGAAAACGUAGUAAGAGUUUGUUGAGUGGGUGUCUCUAAAGUGCUUAUUUGAACUGCUCAACCUUUCUUCAUUUUAAUGGUGUGCGGAAUCCGGAUUUGAGGGCAAAUCCUUCCCAAGGAGGGGAGGGUGAUAUGACCACGGGUGCUAGACGUCAAGAGUCUUCACCUCGACGUGAGCCAUGGAUUGAUUGGGGUCCAAGGAAGAGAGUGAAGACAUGCCAAGGAUUCAAUAAAGCUAGAGGGCCUCCUGAGGGUGCGAGGAAUAGAGAAGGCUCGGAUUUGAGGACAAAUCCUUUCCAAGAAGGGGAGGAUGAUACGAUCAUGGAAGCCGUGUGUCAAGGAUUUCAACUACAGCUGGAUUCCACCGGCAAUCUUCCUAUCCAAAUGAUAGCAAGAUGCACAGAGCUAUGAAACUGCCACAUUGUCUUCUUCUUGAAAUAAGCUUCGCGUGGGUAUCUUGCACAUCCCAAUCGGAGUCCGGAUGAGGGAGUUAUGGCCGUUUUACAGAAGUUGCACAGAGCUCCAAAAGGAACACCCGGGCGGGUGUUUUGCACCCUGCAAUUCACCCGACCGGGUGAAAUGAUUUCGAGGUCCAGAGAGAACACCCGGGUGGGUGUUUUGCACCCUGCAAUUCACCCGACCGGGUGAAUCAUCCGAGACUUAGAUUUUAUGGGCCUUUUCUUGGAAUUUGGCCUUCAACUAUAAAUAGGACUUUAUCUCCUUUUCUUCGUAGAGUUGAUUGAUGAAUUAAGAUAUCUCCUUUGUGAGUUUUUCCUUUUUGAGGAUUGUAUCCAAAUUCCUUCGUUGAAGGUUGCUUGUUUCAAUUUCAUAGAUUGAUUCAAGUAGAGGUAUGCAUCAAUGGAGUUUAUCCAUUGAGUAGUGGAGCCAAAGGGUGAUAGAGCUAAUGAAAGUUGUCUAGGGUUGUCUCCAUUUCUUUGGUUAAGGUCCUAUGGUUGUAGCUCUUUUAUCUCAUCAUUAUACACAUGUUUUUCAUCUCUAA